GAUAUCUAAACAGAAUAUUAGUUUUUUGUGAAUGAAUUUUUCGUACAAGCAAUUUUUUCGUAUUAUAAUUCCCAACACCCGUGCAGUUACCCGCCACCGGUAGAGAUAAAACGAACUCCAGACUUCAUUCGACAUCGCCAAACAAACGAAAAUUGUUACAAAAGCCUACGGACCGUAGGCCGCGAAACAACGCUUUUCUACAGACUCUCAUCUGUUUUUCUCGUCGAAAGUGCUCGGUGGUUUUUCACAAAAACAAAUGAGAAAAUAAAAUAAGCUAGAAUCUACAACGCCAUAUUGGAACCAAACCAAAGAUAUAAUACGAGUUAACCCCGUCAAAGUAGAAGAAAUGGCUUCAGAUUUAAUAGCACCGGCUGUUGUCGUUGUAGGCCUAUUUGUUAUAAAUGCCGCAGUUCUCUUCCUCAUCCGGAGGGCAAGAAAAAGGUAA
rnacentral:misc_RNA from 1 species